GGUGACUCAGUGGUAGAGUGCUUGCUUUGCAUGCAUGAAGCUGUAGGUUCGAUUCCUCAGCACCA
rnacentral:tRNA from 1 species